AGCGAACGCUGGCGGCAGGCCUAACACAUGCAAGUCGAACGAACUCUUCGGAGUUAGUGGCGGACGGGUGAGUAACACGUGGGAACGUGCCUUUUGGUUCGGAAUAACUCAGGGAAACUUGUGCUAAUACCGAAUGUGCCCUUCGGGGGAAAGAUUUAUCGCCAUUAGAGCGGCCCGCGUCUGAUUAGCUAGUUGGUGAGAUAACGGCUCACCAAGGCGACGAUCAGUAGCUGGUCUGAGAGGAUGACCAGCCACACUGGGACUGAGACACGGCCCAGACUCCUACGGGAGGCAGCAGUGGGGAAUCUUGCGCAAUGGGCGAAAGCCUGACGCAGCCAUGCCGCGUGAAUGGUGAAGGUCUUAGGAUUGUAAAAUUCUUUCACCGGGGACGAUAAUGACGGUACCCGGAGAAGAAGCCCCGGCUAACUUCGCG
rnacentral:rRNA from 1 species